rnacentral:rRNA from 1 species
AGGCUACUGCUAUUGGAAUUCGAUUAAGCCAUGCGAGUCGAGGGAAUUAGAUUCCCGGCGGACUGCUCAGUAACACGUGGAUAAUCUAACCUUGGGUGGGGGAUAAUCUCGAGAAAUUGAGCAUAAUACCCCAUAGGUCUAAGAUGCCGGAAUGCUUUUAGGCUGAAAGCUCCGGCGCCCAAGGAUGAGUCUGCGGCCUAUCAGGUUGUAGUGGGUGUAACGGACCCACUAGCCAGCGACGGGUAUGGGCGUUGAGAGACGAAGCCCAGAGAUGGACUCUGAGACACGAGUCCAGGCCCCACGGGGCGCAGCAGGCGCGAAAACUUCACAAUGCUGGCAACAGCGAUGAGGGAAUUCCAAGUGUUUACGCACUGCGUAGACUGUUCAGGUGCCUAAAAAGCAUUUGGAGUAAGAGCUGGGUAAGACCGGUGCCAGCCGCCGCGGUAAUACCGGCAGCUCGAGUGGUAGUCGUUUUUAUUGGGCCUAAAGCGUUCGUAGCCAGUCUGAUAAAUCCUUGGGUAAAUUGUGUCGCUUAACGAUACAAAUUCUGGGGAGACUGUCAGACUUGGGACUGGGAGAGGUUAGAGGUACUCCUGGGGUAGGGGUGAAAUCUGCGACCGCAGGGAGCAGAAUGAGACCUGCGGAGCAGGUCAUAGUCUUGUAAUCCUAGGAGGACCACCAGUGGCGAAUUCGUGCCAUGCGGCACUAAUCAUCGUCGCAUGUUGCGACGCUAAGGCGUCUAACCAGAACGGAUCCGACGGUGAGGGACGAAGCCCUGGGGCGCAAACCGGAUUAGAUACCCGGGUAGUCCAGGGUGUAAACGCUGCAGGUUUGGUGUUGGGGGUUCUACGAGAGCGCCCAGUGCCGGAGAGAAGUUGUUAAACCUGCCGCCUGGGGAGUACGGUCGCAAGACUGAAACUUAAAGGAAUUGGCGGGGGAGCACAGCAACGGGUGGAGCGUGCGGUUUAAUUGGAUUCAACGCCGGAAAACUCACCGGAGGCGACGGUUAUAUGAGGGCCAAGCUAAUGACUUUGCCUAAUUUUCCGAGAGGUGGUGCAUGGCCGCCGUCAGUUCGUACCGUAAGGCGUUCUGUUAAGUCAGAUAACGAACGAGACCCUCACCCUUAAUUGCCAUCUUCCUGUCCGCAGGAAAGGAACAUUAGGGGGACCGCUGGCGCUAAGCCAGAGGAAGGUGGGGGCAACGGUAGGUCAGUAUGCCCCGAAUCCUCCGGGCUACACGCGCGCUACAAAGGAUAGGACAAUGGGCUUCAACACCGAGAGGUGAAGGUAAUCCCGAAACCUAUUCGUAGUUCGGAUUGAGGGCUGUAACUCGCCCUCAUGAAGCUGGAAUCCGUAGUAAUCGCGGGUCAACAUCCCGCGGUGAAUGUGCCCCUGCUCC